rnacentral:rRNA from 1 species
AUUGAACGCUGGCGGCAGGCCUAACACAUGCAAGUCGAGCGGCAGCGGAAAGUAGCUUGCUACUUUGCCGGCGAGCGGCGGACGGGUGAGUAAUGUCUGGGAAACUGCCUGAUGGAGGGGGAUAACUACUGGAAACGGUAGCUAAUACCGCAUAAUGUCGCAAGACCAAAGAGGGGGACCUUCGGGCCUCUUGCCAUCAGAUGUGCCCAGAUGGGAUUAGCUAGUAGGUGGGGUAACGGCUCACCUAGGCGACAAUCCCUAGCUGGUCUGGGAGGAUGACCAGCCACACUGGAACUGAGACACGGUCCAGACUCCUACGGGAGGCAGCAGUGGGGAAUAUUGCACAAUGGGCGCAAGCCUGAUGCAGCCAUGCCGCGUGUAUGAAGAAGGCCUUCGGGUUGUAAAGUACUUUCAGCGGGGAGGAAGGUGUUGAGGUUAAUAACCUCAGCAAUUGACGUUACCCGCAGAAGAAGCACCGGCUAACUCCGUGCCAGCCGCCGCCGUAA